UACGUAGGUGGCAAGCGUUGUCCGGAUUUAUUGGGUUUAAAGGGUGCGUAGGCGGUCUAUUAAGUCAGUGCUGAAAUCUCCCGGCUUAACCGGGAGGGUGGCAUUGAUACUGAUGGACUUGAGUGCAGUCGAGGUAGGCGGAAUUGACGGUGUAGCGGUGAAAUGCUUAGAUAUCGUCAAGAACACCGAUAGUGAAGACAGCUUACUAGACUGUAACUGACGCUGAGGCACGAAAGUGUGGGGAUCAAACAGG
rnacentral:rRNA from 1 species